GCCGGGAUGGCGGAACAGGCAGACGCAGCGGACUUAAAAUCCGUGGGCCUUCGGGUCGUGAGGGUUCGAGUCCCUCUCCCGGUA
rnacentral:tRNA from 1 species